rnacentral:rRNA from 1 species
AUUGAACGCUGGCGGCAUGCCUUACACAUGCAAGUCGAACGGCAGCACGGGUGCUUGCACCUGGUGGCGAGUGGCGAACGGGUGAGUAAUACAUCGGAACAUGUCCUGUAGUGGGGGAUAGCCCGGCGAAAGCCGGAUUAAUACCGCAUACGAUCUACGGAUGACAGCGGGGGACCUUCGGGCCUCGCGCUAUAGGGUUGGCCGAUGGCUGAUUAGCUAGUUUGUGGGGUAAAGGCCUACCAAGGCGACGAUCAGUAGCUGAUCUGAGAGGACGACCAGCCACACUGGGACUGAGACACGGCCCAGACUCCUACGGGAGGCAGCAGUGGGGAAUUUUGGACAAUGGGCAAAAACCUGAUCCAGCAAUGCCGCGUGUGUGAAGAAGGCCUUCGGAUUGUAAAGCAAUUUUGUCCGGAAAGAAAUCCUUGGCCCUAAUACGGUCGGGGGAUGACGGUACCGGAAGAAUAAGCACCGGCUAACUACGUG